UAUGUCAGUUGCGUAAGGACACUGGCUGUCUCUGUAAAGGAUUUGUGGAAACUUACCGUAAUCUUUUCUUUCUUAGCCUCCGAGAUCCAUUAGUGUUGUGUGACUUCCAAUAGCUGGUCUUUUAGUUCAGCAAUCUCCUUCAGAUCCUUCAUCAUCAGCUACCCCUUGAUUUGAGGAUGAUGAUCUACUCAGGGUCAUGAAUUUCUGCUGUGGCUCUUCCUGUGACUGGUCAAGUCGAUUCCUGAUUCUGAGAUCUUGAGGAUGACUGCUACAAACAAACUGAUGUGGAAGUGAAUUCAAUGGCUGGAUGGAGAAGGAGGCACCCUGGAAUGUCACACCUGCUGGCGUCAAAAGAAGUCUCAAAAAGAGAAAUGCACUACAAACUGAAUUGUAAUCUCCUGUGAUUAUCUUAGACCAUGAACGUGAAGGUUUAAAAUAAACAGAAAUCUGGGUGAGA